GAUGAACGCUGGCGGCGUGCCUAAUACAUGCAAGUCGAGCGAACAGACGAGGAGCUUGCUCCUCUGACGUUAGCGGCGGACGGGUGAGUAACACGUGGAUAACCUACCUAUAAGACUGGGAUAACUUCGGGAAACCGGAGCUAAUACCGGAUAACAUGUUGAACCGCAUGGUUCAACAGUGAAAGACGGUCUUGCUGUCACUUAUAGAUGGAUCCGCGCCGCAUUAGCUAGUUGGUAAGGUAACGGCUUGCCAAGGCAACGAUGCGUAGCCGACCUGAGAGGGUGAUCGGCCACACUGGAACUGAGACACGGUCCAGACUCCUACGGGAGGCAGCAGUAGGGAAUCUUCCGCAAUGGGCGAAAGCCUGACGGAGCAACGCCGCGUGAGUGAUGAAGGUCUUCGGAUCGUAAAACUCUGUUAUUAGGGAAGAACAAAUGUGUAAGUAACUAUGCACGUCUUGACGGUACCUAAUCAGAAAGCCACGGCUAACUACGUG
rnacentral:rRNA from 1 species